GGAUAAGUCGUAACAAGGUAACCAUAGAGUUUGAUCCUGNNUCUUANGACCNCCCGCUAGGGGGCGGCCGAUUUGAGAUUAGCUAGUUGGUGGGGUAAAGGCCUACCAAGGCGACGAUCUGUAGCUGGUCUGAGANNNNACCAGCCACACUGGGACUGAGACACGGCCCAGACUCAUACGGGAGGCAGCAGUGGGGAAUUUUGGACAAUGGGGGAAACCCUGAUCCAGCAAUGCCGCGUGUGUGAAGAAGGCCUUCGGGUUGUAAAGCACUUUUGUCCGGAAAGAAAACCUCCGCCCUAAUAUGGUGGGGGGAUGACGGUACCGGAAGAAUAAGCACCGGCUAACUACGUGCCAGCAGCCGCGGUAAUACGUAGGGUGCAAGCGUUAAUCGGAAUUACUGGGCGUAAAGCGUGCGCAGGCGGUCCGCUAAGACAGAUGUGAAAUCCCCGGGCUUAACCUGGGAACUGCAUUUGUGACUGGCGGGCUAGAGUAUGGCAGAGGGGGGUAGAAUUCCACGUGUAGCAGUGAAAUGCGUAGAGAUGUGGAGGAAUACCGAUGGCGAAGGCAGCCCCCCUGGGCCAAUACUGACGCUCAUGCACGAAAGCGUGGGGAGCAAACAGGAUUUAGAUACCCUGGUAGUCCACGCCCUAAACGAUGUCAACUAGUUGUUGGGGAUUCAUUUCCUUAGUAACGAAGCUAACGCGUGAAGUUGACCGCCUGGGGAGUACGGUCGCAAGAUUAAAACUCAAAGGAAUUGACGGGGACCCGCACAAGCGGUGGAUGAUGUGGAUUAAUUCGAUGCAACGCGAAAAACCUUACCUACCCUUGACAUGUAUGGAACCUGGCUGAGAGGUCGGGGUGCCCGAAAGGGAGCCAUAACACAGGUGCUGCAUGGCUGUCGUCAGCUUGUGUCCUGAGACGNUGNNAGUAGUACCACAGUGACCGCANAGUUUGNNCCUGGCUCAGG
rnacentral:rRNA from 1 species